AUACGGAGGGUGCAAGCGUUAUCCGGAUUUAUUGGGUUUAAAGGGUCCGUAGGCGGACCUGUAAGUCAGUGGUGAAAUCUCAUAGCUUAACUAUGAAACUGCCAUUGAUACUGCAGGUCUUGAGUAAAUUUGAAGUGGCUGGAAUAAGUAGUGUAGCGGUGAAAUGCAUAGAUAUUACUUAGAACACCAAUUGCGAAGGCAGGUCACUAAGAUUUAACUGACGCUGAUGGACGAAAGCGUGGGUAGCGAACAGGAUUAGAUACCCUGGUAGUCCACGCCGUAAACGAUGCUAACUCGUUUUUGGAUUUUCGGAUUCAGAGACCAAGCGAAAGUGAUAAGUUAGCCACCUGGGGAGUACGUCCGCAAGGAUGA
rnacentral:rRNA from 1 species